rnacentral:rRNA from 1 species
AUACGUAGGUGACAAGCGUUAUCCGGAUUUACUGGGCGUAAAGGGCGUGUAGGCGGUCUUGCAAGUCAGAAGUGAAAUUCCUGAGCUCAACUCGGGCGCUGCUUCUGAAACUGCAGGACUUGAGUGCUGGAGGGGAUAGCGGAAUUCCUAGUGGAGCGGUAAAAUGCGCAGAUAUUAGGAAGAACACCGGUGGCGAAGGCGGCUAUCUGGACAUUAACUGAUGCUGAGGCGCGAAAGCGUGGGGAGCAAACAGGAUUAGAUCCCCUUGUAGUCCACGCCGUAAACGAUGAAUACUAGGUGUAGGGGGUAUCGACUCCCUCUGUGCCGCAGUUAACACAAUAAGUAUUCCGCCUGGGGAGUACGGCCGCAAGGUUGAAACUCAAAGGAAUUGACGGGG